rnacentral:rRNA from 1 species
CCUACGGGCGGCAGCAGUGAGGAAUAUUGGUCAAUGGACGAGAGUCUGAACCAGCCAAGUAGCGUGAAGGAGGACUGCCCUAUGGGUUGUAAACUUCUUUUAUAUGGGAAUAAAAUGUUCCACGUGUGGGAUUUUGUAUGUACCAUAUGAAUAAGGAUCGGCUAACUCCGUGCCAGCAGCCGCGGUAAUACGGAGGAUCCGAGCGUUAUCCGGAUUUAUUGGGUUUAAAGGGAGCGUAGGUGGAUUGUUAAGUCAGUUGUGAAAGUUUGCGGCUCAACCGUAAAAUUGCAGUUGAAACUGGCAGUCUUGAGUACAGUAGAGGUGGGCGGAAUUCGUGGUGUAGCGGUGAAAUGCUUAGAUAUCACGAAGAACUCCGAUUGCGAAGGCAGUUCACUGGACUGCAACUGACACUGAGGCUCGAAAGUGUGGGUAUCAAACAGGAGUAGAUACCCUUGUAGUC